UCGUUCGUUCAGUGGCAGAUCCUCUUGCCUAUACCCUCUGCCUCCGGAGCAGAAGGUCGGGGGUUCGAGUCCCUUCGGGCGCA
rnacentral:tRNA from 1 species